AUACGGAGGGGGUUAGCGUUGUUCGGAAUUACUGGGCGUAAAGCGCACGUAGGCGGAUUGGAAAGUUGGGGGUGAAAUCCCAGGGCUCAACCCUGGAACUGCCUCCAAAACUAACAGUCUAGAGUUCGAGAGAGGUGAGUGGAAUUCCAAGUGUAGAGGUGAAAUUCGUAGAUAUUUGGAGGAACACCAGUGGCGAAGGCGGCUCGCUGGCUCGAUACUGACGCUGAGGUGCGAAAGCGUGGGGAGCAAACAGGAUUAGAUACCCUAGUAGUCC
rnacentral:rRNA from 1 species